rnacentral:lncRNA from 1 species
AAUGGUGCACGCUUUUAAUACCAGCACUUGGGAGACAGACACAGGUGGCCUGGUCUACAGACUGAGUUUCUAGACAGCCAGGGUUAUACACAGAGGAGCCCUCUCUUGAAUACCCAAGGAAAAAAAGAGAGAUUUAUUUUAUUUUUAAAUGAUCUGUAUUGGGUUGGUGUGUUCAUGUGUGAAUGGCCCUGGAGGUCAGAACAAUGCUUCAGAUUCCCAGGGUCUGGGGUGACAGGCAGGUGGUGUAAGCCACUCACAUGGCUUCUGGGUCCUCUUCAAUGGCAGUGUUUCUUAAAGUCUUUCAUAAUAUUUAAAUUGUAAGGCUUUCAAUGAAAGUAACAAAAGUGUCCAACUGAUGAAUGAGGUAAAGAAAAUCUAAUAUCAAAUACAAUGAAACCUGUUCAGAUACAAGGAUGAAAUCUUUUAGUUUGUGACCACCUGAAUGGAUCUGGAGGAUACUGUGUUAAGCUAAAUAAACCCGAGACAAAAAGGCUCCACGAGUUCACCCAUAUGGAAUCUUAAAACCUUGAUCUUCUAGAACUUAACAGUAGAAUAGUUGUCUGCAGAAGCUGGGGAGGGAGGACACAGACUUCAUUGUGGGGAUCAGUGAAGAGCCCUCGAUCCUGUGAAAACAUGGUGGAGAGACAAUCCUUCACUGUGAGCCUUUAUGUUCAUGACAACACAACCCGGCAUGUAUAGAUCUCCUAAUUUCUCAGCCGCUUCUGACAUGGGGGCUCCUAAUUCUUGUUCAGAUGAAGCAAAGAGUAUAAGUUUGUGGAUGAAUCUCCCACGACUCAUGCAGCUCCAGAGCCCUGGAAAUGUCCCAAUCGUGGGAAAAGGAUCCAGAUUUUAAAAGGAUAUUCUCCACUCUUCCUCGAAGAUAGGAACGACCGCAGGAGAGUGGCUGGCAGAGAGUGCUGGCAGAGACUGUAGGAGUGGUGACAGCCAGUCACAGGUGGUACUGGUAAGUAGCAGCUUUCUUAAAGGAGUUUCAGGCUCAGAUCUCCUCUUCUACUGAGGCUGCGGCGGCCAUCUGUAACUAGCCAAGAAAGAAAAGCCAGGAGACUGGCAGCGUACUCUGUUUUAAUGACCUUGAGUUGUCUCACAGCCCCUGGCCUUCUCCCUUGGGUCUUCUAUAAGCCAUGGCUUCUUCAGGCAUUGUAUUAAAAGUAGGCAAACUCAUUCUUCUUCU